CAAGACACUCUUAAACAACUCGAAAGGAAGACAUGAUGAGUGCUUGAAAUUUGGAGCUUAGCUUUUGGAUUUUCUUGCCGUAAUUGAAUGUUUGUGAGUGUUGUAGCGCCUACUCUCUGGCCAAUAACUUAUAUAGAGGUUAUAAUGCCAAUCUGUGGACCAGCGUCUCAGAAGAAUAGAUUUGCUGCUGAGAAAGAUGCCACAACAUCAGUGAACAGACUCAAAGAACAUUUGUUUGAACACACGACAUGUAUUUAUAAUAUAACACUCAGGUUUCAUGAACCUUUUCCCUUGGUUUUCAACAAGAAAAUCCAAGAACAGACUCAAGGGGGCUCGCCAGUCCAAACCCUCCUCAGAAUCACCGGAAGUCCGGGACAGAUCCAGAAUACAAGCACCAAGACAUCGUCACAUCAGACAGAGGACAUCAAUCAAACUUGGAAAGGGACAAAACAACAACAAAAAAAAAAAACCUGACCUUGAACAGACAAGGUCACAAAAAUAUCAUGAAUAUCUUCAUUGUAACAACAUACAAUAAAGUUUUUAACUCAUGAAAGUAAAUUAAUCA